GAACUACAAGUGAAAAACUUCAAACUUAAAGGACUUGACGGUAUCCCAAACCGACCUAGAGGAGCCUGUCCUAUAAUCGAUACCCCCCGCUCCACCCAACCUCAACUAGCACAGUAUCAGCCUAUAUACCGCCGUCGACAGCCUACCCUAUGAAGGUUCAAUAGUAGACACAAUAGCCCCCCGCUAACACGUCAGGUCAAGGUGUAGCAAAUGUUGAGGAAGAGAUUGGCUACAUUUUUUACGAUAAAAAAAACGAAAAGUGCUAUGAAAUAGCACAUGAAGGUGAAUUUAGUAGUAAAAUAAACAAGAGUGUUUAUUUUAACGCCGCUCUGGGAUGCGUACACACCGCCCG
rnacentral:rRNA from 1 species